rnacentral:rRNA from 1 species
CCCUUAGAUGUUCUGGGCCGCACGCGCGCUACACUGAUGCAUUCAACGAGUCUAAAACCUGGUCUGAUAGGGCUGGGUAAUCUUUUGAAAGUGCAUCGUGAUUGGGAUAGAUGAUUGCAGUUCUUCAUCUUCAACGAGGAAUGCCUAGUAAACGCAAGUCAUCAGCUUGCAUUGAUUACGUCCCUGCCCUUUGUACACACCGCCCGUCGCUCCUACCGAUUGAAUGAUCCGAUGAAUACCAUGGAUUGAGAGUACGAAUGGGUUCGCUCAUUUCUGCUGCCCGAGAAGUGGAGUAAAUCUUAUCAUUUAGAGGAAGGAGAAGUCGUAACA